CCCUCUCCAAGAGACGCUAUCGCUGUGAUCUGUGCUGACUCCUUUAAAGGCCCCAUAGCCAGACCCUGGUCCUGGCCUUCUUGUCCCCAGUAGGACAGAGAGGAGGCGUGCAAACAAGUACCUGCCCUGUGCAUUUGGGUACAUAGUUCUUGGCCAAUGUACACGAGGUCUUGAAGCCAAUACUCAGUCCUUCUCCUGAGACUUAGGAGUGGACCCAUGGUGGGACCUAGACCUGAGACAGCUCUACUGGAGUAACUAGGGCCCCAGAAAUGUUCCUGACUCUUAAUGACACUAAGGCUUUCUGGCUAGGCACACUGCUGAGGUCUUCAGACGACAAGGCAGAGCCCUCCUGGAGCGCAGAGCCCUCCUGGAGCCCACAGCCCUUGGGGAAUUCGGACUUCAGAAGUGCUCACGGGACACUUGGUUCCACGCCAGACAUUAAAGAUCCAGAGCCCCGACCCAUCCGUCCUCGUUUCCGAUCAUUUCCUUUCUCUUCCAAUGCAGGAUGCCCGCUCCAUGGCUGCCGCCGCCGCAUCCAUUGGAGGACCCCGAGCAAACACCGUCCUGGAGCGGGUGGAAGGCGCUCAGCAGCGAUGGAAGCUACAGGUGCAGGAGCAGCGGAAGACGGUCUUCGAUCGACACAAGAUGCUCAGUUAGAUGAUUGCCAUGGCAGUGUCAGGGACCCAGACCUCGGCUACCAGCUUCUGGGGCAGUCUUCCCUGGGUCUUCCCUUCAAAUGCCCGUGGCAUUUGUCCUUCUCCCUCUCUCUAGAAAUGUACUCGACUGUUAUAACUAGGGAGUGGGAUUGGGUCUUUGGUCUCUAGUGUCUCUGUAGGUCUCUGGGGUAGAAGGGAGGGAAAGGAAGGCAGAAGAGAACAGAGAUGGUUGAGAC
rnacentral:lncRNA from 1 species